UCUGUAUGUAGCUAGAAAAGAAUUUUAAUGGCUCCUCUUGGCUUUAGCUAAACCUAUCUGUGCGAUUGCCAGUCAGAAGUUGUAUUUGGUCUUUUUUCAUUUUCUUUAAAAAAUAGGAAAAAAAAACACACUCAACCUAAUGCUCUGUCAUGCCAAUAACCUCUUAGCUCAGUGAGAUAAUUGUUGGUCUUUCCGUUAAUUGAAAAGAUAAAUGCCGUUUUGACAGACAUCACAUUUGACCGUUCUAGGAUUUGCUUUAUGUAUAUGUACAGUGAAUAUAGACAGUGUUUUAGCACUGUCAUGCUAAAUUCUGCUGCGUUUGUUCAUUGUACUUGUACCUAGGGUCUGGCAGCAUAGUGGACCAUCACUGUGGUUGUCUGUAUACUGUCAGUAGUUGGAUAACUAUGUCAUAUUGUUGUUUAGACAUUGAUAUACGGUUUUAAUGUAGCCUUCAAACUGUAUUUUAUUUGUGCAUAGUCCAAAAAUGACAGGUUGUGUUUCUCUUUCUUUGUGCAGGCUCCAGAAAAAGAGGCUCUUAAGUCUGUCUGAAGAUUGCUUCACAAUAACCGAGCAAUGGGCUGAGAGCUGUGGUCCGCAGUGCCGGUAGUUGUGGGCUGAGGUAGUAGUUUGUAUAGUU